GGAGGUGGCAAGCGUUAUUCGGAAUUACUGGGCGUAAAGGGCGCGUAGGCGGGGAGGCAAGUCGGGUGUGAAAUCCCUCGGCCCAACCGAGGAACGGCGCUCGAAACUGCUUCUCUUGAGUCCCGGAGAGGAAGGUGGAAUUCCCGGUGUAGCGGUGAAAUGUGUAGAGAUCGGGAGGAACACCGGUGGCGAAGGCGGCCUUCUGGACGGUGACUGACGCUGAGGCGCGAAAGCGUGGGUAGCAAACGGGGAUUAGAUACCCCGGUAGUCCACGCUGUAAACGAUGGGUGCUAGGUGUGGGGGGUAUCGACCCCCUUCCCGUGCCCGAAGCUAACGCAUUAAGCACCCCCGCCUGGGGAGUACGGCCGCAAGGUUG
rnacentral:rRNA from 1 species